rnacentral:tRNA from 1 species
CCUGGUGGCUCAGACGGUAAAGCAUCUGCCUGCAAUGCGGGACACCCGGGUUCAAUUCCCGGGUCAGGA